GGGGGUGCGCCGAAGUGGGAGAGACGGGGCAGACUGUAAAUCUGUUGCUUUUAGCUGAAUAGGUUCGAAUCCUAUCACCCCCACCA
rnacentral:tRNA from 1 species